GGCCCUUUACAUGUGGCUGAGCCAGGCAGCGGCAGCCCUGAGGCAGCCAUGUUGGAUCUGGCUGUGUCUCGCCCUCUCCCAGCUACAAGGUUUCCCUUAACUCCGGCUGUGUUUUCCUUCCCUUAUUGCUGGGGGAUGGCACCUUCUCUCGGUGGCCGUCUCAGCCCUGGCUGGAGAUGUGCUGCGACCCAAGGAGGUCACAAGCUGCGGUGCAGCCCGUCUGGGUGUGUGAUAGCCAAGAGAAGCAGUGGAUUGUGGGAAUGCUGGCGUCAGCACCACGAGGGCUUCCUGAGGCAGGGAAGCCAGCAAUCAGCACUGCAGGAUCUGCUGUUCUGGAGCAGUGCCGCAUCACACUUGGGCAGCGCUGGAAUGCCCUGCUCAAAGCAACAGCCUGUGCAUCUCAUCCCAGGGGGUAGUCACGCCAGCCUCCUGAUAUGCAGCAUGAUGUGGGCAGAUCCCUGCUAAAAGUCAGGUUUGGAGCCAUGUUAGGACUAGAGGGUUUUCUAUAGCACCCAUCAAGCUAGUAGGUAA